AGGAUUUUAAAAGUAAUUACGUGGCAGGUAAUUAAAAAACAAAAUGAAGAAAAGAAAAACCCAAAUGCUGAAGAAUUAAGUCGUCUCUGUAAUCUUCAUUUUACCCCACCAUCGAAGACAACCCUUUAUACCCAAUACCAACGCCGUUCACUGAUCGUCGAACGAACCCAACGAAGGUGAAAUCGACCCUGGUACUAACCUCCACCUUAAGUCGGCGAUGAAGUAGCGCAGCAAAGAACACCCAAAGUAAUUUGUGAAAUUCGCGACUGUAGCACUAACCUCCUUCGCCUCCAGCCGAAUCAACAGAUAACAUUGGCAAUCGACAAGAAUGAGAGGGAAAAUUUUGGAGUAUGUCACGGUUGUAGAAGAAACACGCAUUAUUUUGGACAAUGCCAAUCAAAACGCCGAUGCCCUAGUUGUGACCACGGAUAUUGAAAAUGUUUUGAGGUCAAACGGGAUACCAGUAACAAAGGGCGAUUGUUCUUUACAUGUAGUGAUAACUGUGGAUACUUUGAUUGGGUGAAAAAUGAAGUUGUAGGUGACGAAUCGAGUUUCGUUAAUCGUCCAGAUGCGCCCGACAAGGAAGAUGAAGAGUUCCCGAGACAGUUCGAUGGGCUAGCUAGAAUUAGCGAGAAAUGAGGCGUCGACAUAUCAUUGCACAUGACUUUCAAUAAGGAAAAAUGAAUAGAUAAAUGCAACGGGAAGGGAAAGGGGUCAGAUUAAAUGGGUGAUUUGAGUUAUUGUAUGUGGUUGACACACUAAUGUGAUGUGAAUUUCAGACGUGUUUAAGGAUAUGUUGGUGUUAUUUCAAUUUGUAUUUUGUAUGUUUUGAAAUGUGAAUAUACUGUCCUUAAUUUAUGUAUGCAGCCUAGGUUAGUAGAUACAAGAGUUAUGUGUGUUCUAUAUCCCAUCUACAGUAUUUGGUUUGGGGUUACUCUUGAUGCUGUCUAUCAAUAAUCUUGUUUGCAGUAAAUGGGUGUUAAUGA